CUUUCACACACACUGAUAUGAUCAAUAACAGUUCACAGUGAAAUGCAAAAGCUUUAAAAUAGAAUAAUAUGAUGUACAAUGAAUUACUGUACAAUAAACAAAAAUUGGCAUUUACUCUACCAAACACACAUCUCAUGUGUAUGGCAAAAGUGGUACAUAUGUUUUUUACUUACCUUAGCUGCGCUUCUAACACUUCUAUAAUGUUUACUGAGAAGGUGGUACAGGGAACAGUCCCAAUAGUGUUUACUGAGAAGAAGGUAUAGGGAACAGUCCCAAUAGUGUUUACUGAGGAGGAGGUACAGGGGACAGCAGUGUUUACUGAGAAGGUACAGGAAACAGCCUCAGUAGUGUUUACUAAGGAUGAGGUACAGGGAACAGUCCCAGUAGUGUUUACUGAUGAGAAGGUACAGGGAACAGUCCCAGCAGUGUUUACUAAGGAUGAGGUACAAGGAACAGUCCCAGCAGUGUUUACUAAGAAUGAGAUACAGGGGACAGCCCCAGCAGUGUUUACUAAGGAUGAGGUACAGGGAACAGUCCCAAUGAGGAGAAGGUACAGGGAACAGUCUCAGUAGUGUUUACUGAGGAGAAGGUACAGGGAACAGUCCCAAUGAGGAGAAGGUACAGGGAACAGUUUCAGUAGUGUUUACUGAGGAGAAGGUACAGGGAACAGUCCCAGUAGUGUUUACU